UCUGUUGGUUAAUGGGAUUGUCCGUUGCUCUUUGGGAUCAUUCAUCAAUCAGUGGGAUCGCCCAGUGGUUAAUGGGAUCGCCCAGUGAUCAUUGGGAUCACCCAGUGGUCAGUGGGAUCAUCCAUUGGUUAAUGGGAUCCCCCAGUGAUCACUGGGAUCAUCCAUUGGGUCUUUAGGAUCAUUGUCAAUCAGUGGGAUCACCCUGUGGUUAAUGGGAUCCUCCAGUGAUC
rnacentral:lncRNA from 1 species